AGAAACACUCUGCUACAGAACAAGUGUCUUGGUUCACAGCAAAGAGGACAAAGAAAACAGCAAGUUUUAGGGGGUUGAAUCCUGGAUUCCCCUGGCAAACACCAUUCUACUUUCCGUCUCUAUGAAUUUGACUACUCGAAGUACCUCAUUAAAAGAAGAGAAAAAACAUCAAUUAGAAAAUAGAAAAGAGCCCUCCCUGGUGAAUUCCUGCUUCUCCUCCAUGUCAUCAUAGGUGUUGAUGGUGCUUGCCUCUGGAUAAUGCUGACUUCCUCUAGAGUGGUCACCAAGGUGAAAUGUUGGUGCCAAAUGAACUUUUCUGGUUCUUCUGAAUGUGGUGACCAGAUGGAUAUAAACGGGCUGUGGAAAAAGAGAAUGCAUGGCCAAAAAUGGUGGUGCUCUCUGUCCAAAAACUGAGGCCCUAUGACCAUGAAUGAAGCCAGAGGGCAGGUAGGAAUAGCACAAAUCUUCUCUAGAAUACAGAAAUAUUCUAGAGAUCACUGACGCAUUUGAGGGAAAUUGAAAACAAAACGAAACAGAACAAACAGAAGCCUUAAACAGUAAAAUAACAGCAAGAUGAAACUGAUUUAAGACAAUCAAAUAACAUCGUUUCCUGUUCAUUCUCCAAACACAAGCUUUCUCUCGCUUUGACAGAAGCAGAAAGACCCGGAGAAGGCCGGGAUGUCCUCAAUUUCCUUCUUUUCUGCUUACUCCUUUAAACAUCUCAGCAACCGCCUGUCACAUCUCCAGAAUUACAUCGGCCUCCCUUGAAGUAUCAUUUGCUCCAGAAGAAGCUGGUUGCCAUGUCUUGAGGACAGUAAACCCUCUGGGGAGGUUCCUGUGGUAAGGAACAAGGGCUCCUGGCAAUAGCCUCUGAGUGAGCCACCUUGAAAAUGGAUUGUCCAGCCCCAGUCAAGCUUUCAGAUGACUGUAGCUCCUGCCAAUGUCUUCACCACAACCUCAUGAGAUCCCAAGCUACAACCACUCAGAACUUCAUCUUUUGGGAAGCACCAGGGAGAGCUGCCUGUGCCUGGCAGAAGCUGCCCAUGCCCCACUGAUACCCCACAGUACUUCCUGUUCUGCUUAGUACUCCUGCUUCUUUCUACAAACAACUGUGAUUCUCUACCUGGGAGCUUCCUCUGGCCACAGGAGCCUGCUCACCUGAUUGGGACACCCUAGCAGUACUGGCUCAUAGAUGGAAGGGACUUGCCUUGUCGCUGAUGAGACUUUCGACUUGGACUUUUGAGUCAAUGCUGGAAUGAGUUAAGACUUUGGGGAACUGUUGGAAGGGUGUGAUUGUGUUUUGAAUUGUGAGGACAUGAGAUUUUGAAGAGGCUAAUGGCAGCGUCCCCACCUAAAUCUCUUCUUGAAUUGUAGUUCCCAUAAUCCCCACGUGUCGUGGGGUGGAGCCGGUGGAGAUAAUUGAAUCAUGGGAACACUUUCCCCCAUGCUGUUAUUGUGAUUGUGAAUUCUCACGAGAUCUGAUGGUUGUAUAAACGCCUUCCCUCUUCGCUGGGCACUCAUUUUUCUCCUUCCUGCCACCAUGUGAAGAAGGAUAUGCUUGCUUCUUGUGCCAUGAUUGUAAGUUUCCUGAGGCCUCCCCAGCCAUGCUGAACUGUGAGUCAAUUGAACCUCUUUCCUUUAUAAAUUACCUAGUCUUGGAUAUGUUUUUAUUAGCAGUGUGAGACAGGACUAAUACACAAAGGAUUUGAAAUCACAAAGGAGCUGUUUUCUGCUCCACCAUGGAAGUCUCACAUGCAUCACAUCUAUUCAUAUCCAUUUGCCACAACUAGACAAAAAGUCCUUUUUAAAAUCUGCCUAGAGAUCAGGAAGUAUUAUCUCUGGAUGCCUAGGCAGGAGAGGUGAAUCAGAUAUUGGUGGGCACUAGUGUGUUCUAUGAUACAUAGCUUAAUAAAAAUAAGUUUCAGAUAAAUCUAAAUAUACAUUAGAAUACUGUAACCACAGUAGAAAAAAAUAUUGGCUCCUUUUUGUGAUAAACUAAUGAUGGUAAAUGCACCCUAUUUAAGCAAGAAAAGAAACUGAUCUGCCAUAAAGAAAACAAUGACAUAUUUAACUACAAAAUAUGUUACAAAAUAUUAAUAUCCCUAAUGGACAAAUGAGUUCCAAUAAAUGGAUAACAAAAAACCAAUAAGUCUGUAGAAAAAUGGAGAAAAUAUAUUUGCAGAAUAUUUAUACAGGUGGUAAUGAAAUUGACAAUGAUGUUUAUCAUCAGCAGUAAACAGUAAAAAGUUUCACCCACCAGGACUAUAGAAAUUUUUCAAAUGGAUAAUUUUCAGAAUCAGCAAAGUUAUAGAAAAGUAGGUACCAGUUGCACAUACCAUUGGAGGAAAUGUAAAAUAUAGUUACCUUGUGGAAAGUAAUCUGAUGUAAUAUAUUAAAAUUUUAUCCAUGUAUGUCCUAUAAUUCAGCAAUUCCAUGUUGGGGAAUCCAUACAAAGAAAUACUUAUACACAUGCAGAAGGAGCUAAGUUUAAGAAAGCACACAUUUCAGCGGGUUGUGGUGUCUCACCCCUGUAAUCCCAGCACAUUGGGAGGCCGAGGUUGGUGGAUCACCUGAGGUCAGGAGUUUGAGACCAGCCUGGCCAACAUGGUGAAACCC
ensembl:lncRNA STXBP5-AS1 STXBP5 antisense RNA 1